AUGUGGGUGGUGGUGCAUGGCCGUUCUUAGUUGGUGGAGUGAUUKGUCUGCUUAAUUGCGUUAACGAACGAGACCUUAACCUGCUAAAUAGCCAGGCUAACUUUUGUUGGUCGCCGGCUUCUUAGAGGGACUAUCGGCUCAAGCCGAUGGAAGUUUGAGGCAAUAACAGGUCUGUGAUGCCCUUAGAUGUUCUGGGCCGCACGCGCGCUACACUGACAGAGCCAACGAGUAUAAACCUUAACCGAGAGGUUUGGGUAAUCUUGUUAAACUCUGUCGUGCUGGGGAUAGGGCAUUGCAAUUAUUGCCCUUCAACGAGGAAUAUCUAGUAAGCGCAAGUCAUCAGCUUGCGUUGAUUACGUCCCUGCCCUUUGUACACACCGCCCGUCGCUACUACCGAUUGAAUGGCUCAGUGAGGCCUUCGGACUGGCUCCAGGAGGUCGGCAACGACCACUCAGAGCCGGAAAGUUGGUCAAACUUGGUCAUUUAGAGGAAGUAAAAGUCGUAACAAGGUUUCCGUAGGUGAACCUGCGGAAGGAUCAUUACCUGAGGCUACAGGUUGGAACUUGUUCCAGCACCUGGCUUAACCUUUCAACCACUUGUGAACCAAAACACCUUUGCGCUUCGGCAGCAGCUGGGCCGGGCAACCGGUCCCAGCUUAAGCCUGCCGCUAGCACCUUUUCAAAACUUGAACCCAUUAAACAUGUCUGAUGACCAAAUUUUCGAAUGAAAAUUAAAACUUUCAACAACGGAUCUCUUGGUUCCCGCAUCGAUGAAGAACGCAGCGAAACGCGAUAGUUAAUGUGAAUUGCAGAAUUCAGUGAAUCAUCGAGUCUUUGAACGCACAUUGCGCCCAUCGGUAUUCCGUUGGGCAUGUCUGUUUGAGCGUCAUUACAAAAAUCGACACCAGUCGGUUGUGAGCCCGCUGGGUUUUACCACCCAGCUGGCUUUAAAGUCAUGAGCUCUGCUGGCCGCCUGCCAACCGUGACAUAGUAAGACUACUUGUCCAGGGGAAGCAUUCAAGCGGUACGGCCUGAACAAUACCAAACCCAUUAGGUUUGACCUCAGAUCAGACAAGGAUACCCGCUGAACUUAAGCAUAUCAAUAAGCGGAGGAAAAGAAACCAACAGGGAUUGCCUCAGUAACGGCGAGUGAAGCGGCAACAGCUCAAAUUUGAAAUCUGGAGCCUUUGGCUUCCGAGUUGUAAUUUGAAGAGGAUGUUUCGGAUGCGGCCUGGGCCUAAGUUCCUUGGAACAGGACGUCAUGGAGGGUGAGAAUCCCGUACAUGGCCCCCGGCUUGCUCCAUGUGAAACUCCUUCGAAGAGUCGAGUUGUUUGGGAAUGCAGCUCAAAAUGGGUGGUAAAUUUCAUCUAAAGCUAAAUAAUGGCGGGAGACCGAUAGCGCACAAGUAGAGUGAUCGAAAGAUGAAAAGCACUUUGAAAAGAGAGUUAAACAGUACGUGAAAUUGUUGAAAGGGAAGCGCUUGCAAUCAGACUCGCUUGCGGUUGAUCAACGUUCCUUUUGGUGCGUGCACUCUGCCGUUGGCGGGCCAGCAUCAGUUGGGGCGGCGGGACAAAGACAGUUGGAAUGUGGCUCCCCUCGGGGAGUGUUAUAGCCUUCUGUGCAAUGCCGCCAGUCCCGACUGAGGUCCGCGGUCGCCUAGG
rnacentral:rRNA from 1 species